GUGCUCACUUUGGCAGCACAUAUACUAAAAUUGGAACGAUAGAGAGAAGAUUAGCAUGGCCCCUGCACAAGGAUGACAAGCAAAUCUGUGAAGCGUUCCAUAUUUUA
rnacentral:snRNA from 1 species